rnacentral:rRNA from 1 species
GACAGAGGGGGCAAGCGUUAUCCGGAAUUACUGGGCGUAAAGCGCACGCAGGCGGUCUGUUAAGUUUGACGUGAAAGCUCCCGGCUUAACUGGGAGAGGUCGUUGAAGACUGGCAGACUUGAGGCGAUGAGAGGGGUGUAGAAUUCCCGGUGUAGUGGUGGAAUGCGUAGAUAUCGGGGGGGAAUACCAGUGGCGAAGGCGAGUCCCUGGACAACUCCUGACGCUGAGGCACGAAAGCUAGGGGAGCAAACAGG